rnacentral:misc_RNA from 1 species
UUUUGGUGGGGGAAGGGCUGGGAAGAGAACAAUAAGAAUCCAGAUUUCACCAAGUGAAGAAAGGGGCAAACCAUCAACAACUAUGCACGAAUCCAUCACGCAACAGCACUAGAAAGCAUUUAGACACCAAGCCAACAAAAGAAGUAAUCACAAUAAAUAACAAAUCAGUUGUACAAGGAAAAGGUACAUAAUUAGAUUUUUGAAGCAGGUGACAGCUUUACACUUUGCUGUAUCAAUUUGACAAUAUACAAAUAAUGGUGAUAUAAUUUUCAAGUAACCCACUUGUUUCAGCUGUGCAUCCAUGCACAGAAUUCUUACUAAACUAGGAAAUCAAGGGGAGAAACAUGUACAUUACAAUAAAAAAAAAAAUGGGCGAGAAAGCAGCGUCUUCUAGAAAAUAAAUACAUUCACAACAAAUAAAAAUUGAGAAUAAUCGUCCACCAAGUCAAGGGAACAGAGAAAAACGAAAAAGGAUCUCCAAGGUUUACCCUAGUACAAAUAUGAGUCUCUCUCUGUUCAAAAUCAAACAUUUUGGCAGCUGAAUUCCAUAAAAAUCAGCACUUAUAAAAAGACCAAAAUGACAAGAUUCAAUUAUGUUCGUUUGAGACAUACUGUAGUCAAACCAGGACCAAAGUGUUGAAUUUUUAUAAAGCAGCAAUGCCAAAGUGUUUCAUUUUGUGAAGAAGACUAAAUCCAAGGAAUUAUCACUUAUAAUAACCAAUUUAAAACACACACAUUCUCAGCCCCAAAAGUACACACAGUGUCCCUAAAAACCGCAGCACAAUCUUGACCAAACAUGAAAUAAUCAAGAAAAAAAAUUGGAGAUAUUUCACUUCUAUGCAUUUGCAAUGUUGUUGUUGGACACUUUGUGAAGCACGAAGAGACAGAGACAUUGAAGUAGGAGAAAGAAGAUAACUAUUCAACAAAAAUACAACAUUUAAUACACGAGCAAAGUGUUCAUCAACAUAUAUAUAUAUAUU